CCAUCCGCCUCAAGCAACAAUCCCUCGCA
rnacentral:rRNA from 1 species